AUGGAACAAUGUAGGCAAGGGAAGUCGGCAAAACGGAUCCGUAACUUCGGGAAAAGGAUUGGCUCUGAGGACUGGGCUCGGGGGUCCCGGCCCCGAACCCGUCGGCUAUCGGCGGAUUGCUCGAGCUGCUCACGCGGCGAGAGCGGGUCGCCGCGUGCCGGCCGGGGGACGGACCGGGAAUUGCCCCUUCGGGGGCUUUCCCCGAGCAUGAAACAGUCGACUCAGAACUGGUACGGACAAGGGGAAUCCGACUGUUUAAUUAAAACAAAGCAUUGCGAUGGUCCUCGCGGAUGCUGA
rnacentral:rRNA from 1 species